rnacentral:rRNA from 1 species
UACGUAGGAUCCUAGCGUUGUCCGGAUUUACUGGGUGUAAAGGGUGCGCAGGCGGACUUGUAAGUCAGGGGUGAAAUCUCGGCGCUUAACGCCGAAACUGCCUUUGAUACUAUAAGUCUUGAGUUUGGUAGAGAUCCGUGGAAUUCCGAGUGUAGCAGUGAAAUGUGUAGAUAUUCGGAAGAACACCAGCGGCGAAGGCAGCGGAUUGGGCCAAUACUGACGCUCAGGCACGAAAGCAUGGGGAUCAAACAGGAUUAGAAACCCCCGUAGUCC